rnacentral:RNase_P_RNA from 1 species
AGCAGACUGAACAGUCGCGGGUAUAACUCGAAAGGGUGUACCUGAGGAAAGUCCGAGCUCCGCAGGGCAGAAUAACGGCUAACGGCCGCCGGGGGCGACCCUAGGGAUAGUGCAACAGAGAGAUACCGCCCGGUUUUACCGUGGUAAGGAUGGAAAGGCGAGGUAAGAGCUCACCAGCGUGUAGGAGACUAUACGGCUAUGUAAACCCUAUUCGGAGCAACACCGCAGAGAAACAAGAUAGCGCUUGCCCGGCGCGUUUCGAGAAGGUGGCAUGAGCCGUGGUGGCAACACCCGGCCAAGAUAGAUGACUGUUCACGACAGAACUCGGCUUAUAGGUCUGGUCG